rfam:Danio rerio chromosome 23, GRCz11 reference primary assembly.
UAAGGGGGCUAGUAAUAUUGACCUCAAAAUCGAUCACCAAGGUCACCCACUGAAGCUAAGCAGGGCUGCGCCCGGUCAGUACCAGGAUGGGAGACCACAUGGGAAAGCUAGGUUGCUGCCGGAA